rnacentral:rRNA from 1 species
AUGAACGCUAGCUACAGGCUUAACACAUGCAAGUCGAGGGGCAGCAUUUUAGUUUGCUUGCAAACUAAAGAUGGCGACCGGCGCACGGGUGAGUAACACGUAUCCAACCUGCCGAUAACUCGGGGAUAGCCUUUCGAAAGAAAGAUUAAUAUCCGAUAGUAUAUUAAAACCGCAUGGUUUUACUAUUAAAGAAUUUCGGUUAUCGAUGGGGAUGCGUUCCAUUAGUUUGUUGGCGGGGUAACGGCCCACCAAGACUACGAUGGAUAGGGGUUCUGAGAGGAAGGUCCCCCACAUUGGAACUGAGACACGGUCCAAACUCCUACGGGAGGCAGCAGUGAGGAAUAUUGGUCAAUGGACGAGAGUCUGAACCAGCCAAGUAGCGUGAAGGAUGACUGCCCUAUGGGUUGUAAACUUCUUUUAUAUGGGAAUAAAGUAUUCCACGUGUGGGAUUUUGUAUGUACCAUAUGAAUAAGGAUCGGCUAACUCCGUGCCAGCAGCCGCGGUAAUACGGAGGAUCCGAGCGUUAUCCGGAUUUAUUGGGUUUAAAGGGAGCGUAGGUGGAUUGUUAAGUCAGUUGUGAAAGUUUGCGGCUCAACCGUAAAAUUGCAGUUGAAACUGGCAGUCUUGAGUACAGUAGAGGUGGGCGGAAUUCGUGGUGUAGCGGUGAAAUGCUUAGAUAUCACGAAGAACUCCGAUUGCGAAGGCAGCUCACUAGACUGCAACUGACACUGAUGCUCGAAAGUGUGGGUAUCAAACAGGAUUAGAUACCCUGGUAGUCCACACAGUAAACGAUGAAUACUCGCUGUUUGCGAUAUACAGUAAGCGGCCAAGCGAAAGCAUUAAGUAUUCCACCUGGGGAGUACGCCGGCAACGGUGAAACUCAAAGGAAUUGACGGGGGCCCGCACAAGCGGAGGAACAUGUGGUUUAAUUCGAUGAUACGCGAGGAACCUUACCCGGGCUUAAAUUGCAACAGAAUAUAUUGGAAACAGUAUAGCCGUAAGGCUGUUGUGAAGGUGCUGCAUGGUUGUCGUCAGCUCGUGCCGUGAGGUGUCGGCUUAAGUGCCAUAACGAGCGCAACCCUUAUCUUUAGUUACUAACAGGUGAUGCUGAGGACUCUAGAGAGACUGCCGUCGUAAGAUGUGAGGAAGGUGGGGAUGACGUCAAAUCAGCACGGCCCUUACGUCCGGGGCUACACACGUGUUACAAUGGGGGGUACAGAAGGCAGCUACCUGGCGACAGGAUGCUAAUCCCAAAAACCUCUCUCAGUUCGGAUCGAAGUCUGCAACCCGACUUCGUGAAGCUGGAUUCGCUAGUAAUCGCGCAUCAGCCAUGGCGCGGUGAAUACGUUCCCGGGCCUUGUACACACCGCCCGUCAAGCCAUGGAAGCUGGGGGUGCCUGAAGUUCGUGACCGCAAGGAGCGACCUAGGGCAAAACCGGUGACUGGGGCU